CUUAAUUGUUUAAGUCAGAGAAAUCUUCACCACUUCUACUCAGCACUUAAAGAGGGCGCUUUGACAUCGAGCUGUGACUAUUCCUGAAAAGUGCCAAGAGAAAGUAAAACAAUGAAUUUGUGCCUGUUGCUGAUUACUUUGGGGAUUAUUACUGUGCAGGGCGCACAGCCAGAAAACCAACAGAAGUCUAUGAACCCUAAAGCCAAGCGCUAUCAUGAGCCAGAACCUUGUAGACGUUUGAAUGGUGGGGAAUGUAGACCACGCCCGAUGGAUCCAAGUGUGUGGCCAUGUCCCAAUUUUAUUUGCCCUAUGAAUCCCUGUCCAGAGUCCCAAUACACAGUGUGCUGCUGUCCUGGGGACGAUGGGUUGAUUUUUAAUUAACCGGUCGGCAUUUUAAACUCUGAAGGACAAGAAGGAGGAGUAAAUUUGGGUUUUCUUUACGCGGGACUAAAUUGUAACCUUAAAGAAAAAUGAAAACAAUCCAAGAAGAUGAUAAAUAAAAGCCUAGAAAUUCA